CCAGUGUAACCUGCCAUAACCCCAUGAAUUGCUGAAUGUGCAAGAAGAGUGCAAUAUAGAUUAUCCAUGGCAUUUGCAGGGACGGCACGUAUCAUAUACGUGGGAUCGAUAUACUUCACGGUGAAUAAAUCAUUUGGGUGGUCUCUAGACCACCAGUUCCUCAGCUCUGACUUCAACCAAGCACCAACAUCUAAGAAAACUGGGUUGCCUGAUUCAUCCCUCUCUUCUUUCUGGGCAUCUGUUCUUGGUAUCAUAUCCUGUCCUGCCCCCUCUGCAACAACCAGAACUGCAUGACCAUUUUCUUUUAAUCUCUUCUCAAGAAAUUCAAACAGCCCUCCUUUUCCUUCCAGAUAAAAUUCAGUUUCAGGAAUUAAACAGCAAUCCACAUCACGACUGCUCAACGUUGCAUAGAGGGCUAUAUGACCCGUGCUUCGACCCAUUAGCUUCACCAGGCCGAUACCAUUAACUGCACUCUCAGCCUCCACAUAAGCUGCAUUAAUUGCUUGUUGUGCCAUCUCCACAGCUGUCUGGAAUCCAAAUGAUUUGUCAAU
rnacentral:misc_RNA from 1 species